GUUAUAUUUUAACUUUCUGAUUGAUAUCCGUUUGGACAUAAGCAUGAGCCAUGGGAAGGGGGUCGGCCAUUUGAGAAGAAGCCUGUGUGCCUCCAUGAUGCCUAGGAAGUGGAUUUCAGUUCUGCUGCUGCUACAGCUGAGUUGCCACUUCAGCCCUGGGAGCUGUGGGAAGGUGCUGGUGUGGCCCACAGAAUACAGCCAUUGGAUCAACAUGAAGACAAUCCUGGAUGCACUUGUGCAGAGAGGUCAUGAAGUGACUGUUCUGACAUCUUCAGCUUCAAUUCUUGUUGGUCCCAAUAAACCAAGUGCUAUUCAAUUUGAGAUUUUUCCUACAUCUUUAACUAAAGAUGAUAUGGUUUCUUUUUUCAUGAAGAUUAUCAAUAAAUGAUAUAUGAUCUGCUAAAAUAUUUAGGACAAAUUUUCACUACUGCAAGAAAUGUUUUUGGAAGGUACUGACAUGGUUGAAAAGCUCUGUAAAGAUGCUGUUUUGAAUAAGAAACUUAUGACAAAACUACAAGAAUCAAGGUUUGAUGUAGUUCUUGUAGAUGCCGCCGGAACCUGUGGUGAGCUGCUAGCUGAGCUACUUAAAAUACCUUUUGUGUACAGUCUCCGUUUCUCUCCUGGUUAUAACAUUGAAAAGUUCAGUGGAGGACUUCCAUUCCCUCCAUCCUAUGUACCUGUUGUCUUGUCAGAAUUAAGUGAUCAGGUAACAUUCAUGGAGAGGGUAAAAAAUAUGGUCUAUGUGCUCUAUUUUGACUUCUGCCUGCAAACAUAUAAUCAGAAGUAGUGGGAUCAAUUUCUAAACAAAGCGCUAGGAAGACCCAUUACAUUAUUUGAGUUAAUGGGGAAAGCUGAAAUGUGGCUUAUUCGAAGCUAUUGGGAUUUUGAAUUUCCUCACCCACUCUUGCCAAAUUUUGAAUUUGUUGGAGGCCUCCACUGCAAACCUGCUAAGCCUCUGCCUAAGGAAAUGGAAGAGUUUGCCCAGAGCUCUGGAGAAAAUGGUAUUGUGGUGUUUUCCCUGGGGUCGAUGGUCACUAACAUGACAGAAGAGAAAGCCAAUGAGAUUGCAUCAGCCCUUGCCCAGCUUCCACAAAAGGUUAUAUGGAGAUAUGAUGGCAAAAAACCAGAUACCUUAGGGCCAAAUACCCGACUCUAUAAAUGGAUCCCCCAGAAUGACCUUCUUGGUCAUCCAAAAACCAAAGCCUUUAUAACUCAUGGGGGAGCCAAUGGUAUCUAUGAGGCAAUCUACCAUGGGAUCCCUAUGGUGGGCCUUCCUAUGUUUGCGGAUCAGCCUGAUAACAUUGCUCACAUGAAGACCAAGGGAGCAGCUGUCAGAUUGGACUUCAACACUAUUUCAAGUACAGAUUUGCUCAAUGCAUUGAAGACAGUCAUUAAUGACCCUUCAUAUAAAGAGAAUGCAAUGAGAUUGUCAAGAAUUCAUCAUGACCAGCCUAUGAAACCUCUGGAGCGAGCAGUCUUCUGGAUCGAGUUUGUCAUGCGCCACAAAGGAGCCAAACACCUGCGGCCAGCCUCCCAUGACCUCAGCUGGUUCCAGUACCACUCUCUGGAUGUGAUAGGGUUCCUGCUGGCCUGUGUGGCAACUGCUUUAUUUGUCAUCACAAAAUGUUGUCUUUUUUGUUACCAGAAGUUUGCCAAGGCAGGAAAGAAGAAAAAAAGGGAGUAGUUGUUUCUAAAUCCUGAAGCUGAUUUGCCUCAUAGAUGGGACUCCUUCAGUUUAUUCAGGACAAUGAGUUGUAACAUAAGGAUUCCUUCUUCCUGUGACAAAAUGACUUUUCACAAUUUACCUUCUAAGAUCAACAUUUGUUUUCCAAGUAAUUUAGAUGAAAGUUUAUUUCCAAGUAGUUUACUACCUAUUUGAGCUAGAAAUAUUUCAUUUCAAACAGAAAAAAAAAAAACUUGGAAAAAAUUAAAAAUAACUAACUCUUUGA